rnacentral:rRNA from 1 species
GAUGAACGCUGGCGGCGUGCUUAACACAUGCAAGUCGAACGGUGAACGAGGGAGCUUGCUCCCUCCGGAUCAGUGGCGAACGGGGGAGUAACACGUGAGCAAUCUGCCCUGGACUCUGGGAUAAGCGUUGGAAACGACGUCUAAUACCGGAUACGAGGCGUGGGGGCAUCCCCCACGCCUGGAAAGAACGUCGGUCCAGGAUGAGCUCGCGGCCUAGCAGCUAGUUGGUGAGGUAACGGCUCACCAAGGCGACGACGGGUAGCCGGCCUGAGAGGGUGACCGGCCACACUGGGACUGAGACACGGCCCCCACACCUACGGGUGGCAGCAGCGAGGGAUUUUCGGCAAUGGGCGCAAGCCUGACCGAGCAACGCCGCGUGCGGGAUGACGCCCCUCGGGGUGUAAACCGCUUUUCCCCGGGGCGAAGAUGACGGUACCGGGGGAAUCAGCCUCGGCUAACUACGUGCCAGCCGCCGCAGUAAAAC